AACUGCCCCCUCCGCCCGCCGCCGUCAUGGCGACGGGGAAGCGGCCGCCACGUGACCGGGGCGGGGGCCGGGAGGGGCGCCGGCGCCGCGUGACCGCCGGGGGCACGCUGCUUCAGGGCCGCUCCCCUGUCACGUGGUGCGGGCCCCACCCCCGGCGGCCCGUUCCGGUCACGUGCCCACCCCGCCCGCCCCAUGGCCCCGGCGGCGGCCGCAGCCCGACCCCCAUAGCACCGCUCGCACUCGGAGCAGCUCCUGGCGCAACCCGCACGCUCACUGUAGCCACAAUGGCAACAUCAUCUGAAGAAGUGUUGCUGAUAGUGAAGAAGGUGCGUCAGAAGAAGCAGGAUGGGGCCCUCUACCUGAUGGCUGAACGCAUUGCCUGGGCACCCGAGGGCAAGGACCGCUUCACCAUCAGCCACAUGUAUGCAGACAUCAAAUGCCAGAAAAUCAGUCCAGAAGGCAAAGCUAAAAUUCAGCUGCAGCUGGUAUUGCAUGCAGGGGAUACAACCAACUUCCACUUCUCCAAUGAAAGCACAGCAGUGAAGGAGCGAGAUGCGGUCAAGGAUCUUCUUCAACAGCUCUUGCCCAAGUUCAAAAGGAAAGCUAAUAAAGAACUUGAGGAGAAGAACAGAAUGCUGCAAGAAGAUCCUGUUUUGUUUCAGCUCUAUAAAGACCUUGUUGUGAGCCAAGUAAUCAGUGCUGAAGAAUUCUGGGCCAACCGUUUAAGCCUGAAUGCAGGGGAUAAUUCUGCAGCACCUAAUAAGCAGGAUGUGGGAAUCUCUGCAGCAUUCCUGGCUGAUGUACGGCCUCAGACAGACGGCUGCAAUGGGCUGAGGUACAACUUAACUUCGGAUAUUAUUGAAUCCAUAUUUCGGACAUACCCUGCAGUAAAAAUGAAAUAUGCAGAGAAUGUUCCACAUAACAUGACUGAGAGGGAAUUCUGGACACGAUUUUUUCAGUCUCAUUAUUUUCAUCGGGACAGGCUCAAUACAGGUUCAAAAGACCUCUUUGCAGAAUGUGCUAAACUGGAUGAGAAAGGGUUAAAAGCAAUGGUGUCUCAAGGAGUGAAAAACCCUCUGAUAGAUUUAACAGCUUUGGAAGAUAAAACAUUAGAUGAAGGCUAUGGUGCUGCUUCUGUGGCCUCUACAUCAAAUGCCUCAAAGUCUGCUAGAGAAAGCAGCAAUGCUGCCAUCAUAAAACGCUUUAAUCAUCAUAGUGCCAUGGUCCUUGCAGCUGGCCUCAGAAAACAAGAAGCACAAAAUGACCAUUACAGUGAGACCAGCAGUACGGAUGGAAACUCCAGGGAUUCAGAUUUCUUUCAGCCACCACUGAAAAAGGUAAAACUGCAGGAGGCCAUUGAAUACGAAGAUUUAUCAAAGAAUAAUAGCGUUAAAACUAUUGCACUAAACUUAAAGAAGUCUGAUAGGUAUUACCAUGGUCCAACUCCAAUUCAAUCACAGCAAUAUGCAACCAGUCAGGAUAUAAUUAAUUCAUUUCAUAGUAUUAGACAAGAAAUGGAAGCAUAUGUACCCGAACUAACUCAGGUUCUUUCAAGUGUUGAUGCUGCCAGCACUAUUGCAGUCCUGUCACCUGGAGGAGCACUUAUGCAGGGUGGAACACAGCAAGCCAUAAACCAGAUGGUGCCAAAUGACAUUCAGUCUGAACUAAAACAUUUGUAUGUGGCAGUAGGGGAACUGCUACGACACUUCUGGUCCUGCUUCCCUGUUAACACACCAUUCCUAGAAGAAAAGGUUGUGAAAAUGAGGAGCAACUUGGAAAGAUUUCAGGUUACAAAGCUCUGCCCAUUCCAAGAAAAGAUUCGGAGACAAUAUUUAAGCACAAAUUUGGUAAGUCAUAUAGAAGAAAUGCUGCAGACAGCCUACAAUAAAUUCCACACGUGGCAGUCCCGGCGCAUGCUGAAGAAGACGUGAGGGCACAUCCUGUACAGGUCUGAGAGCAAAGCCUGCAAUAGGGUAGGACUACAGCCUAGUUUAACAAUGAUGUUUUAAAACAUAGCUGAGACUGUUUUUGCUUCAAACAUCUGGGAGAGUGUAGCUGUCAGAAGCCAAGCUCCUGCCAUAUGUUUCCCCACCAAUUGGAAGCAAGAGACAUUGCACUGAAAGCUGUUCAUGGUCUGGGGUCUCUAAAGGUACAGAGGGGCAAGCUUUUGCCUGAAGUCUUUGAUUUUUAUGCAAAAAUUUUUCAGCCAUCAGUUUUGCAUGUUUCCUUUUGAGUGAAAGUGUGUGCUACUGCAAUUUUUUUUUUUAUGGUGGCAUUUGUUCUGAGGAGAGAAUGCAUUUUUUAAAAUGAAGUUAAAUAAAGUUUCUUACAAAAGAAGUCAUUUAUUUUCAAUUCUUAGGCAUUUUUUAUUUCUUCUUAUAAAUCUGUUUUCCUUCACCCUUCCCUUUUGACUAUUAUGCUGUUUUUGGCGAAUUGAUAAUCAUUGCAAAGAGAAAAAUGUGUUACAGUGUCCAUAGGUAUUGGGAAUCUGUGCCAUACUUUGUUCUAAAUAGAAUCAGUUCACAGUUUCAGACCAACUUGUCUUGUAUUAAAUGUGACUUAAAUGCAGAGUAACCCCCUUUUCUAGAAUAUAUGCAGUUUAAUGACAACCUUGUAUUUUUUUGUCACUUUGACUGGACAACAGCCCAGUAUGGGCCACUGAACUUUUUUUUUUUACUUCAGAUUAAAUAUGACUGUUAAAGAUGUAUCUACUACAAAGACAAAUCAGACUGACAAUGUGUAUUCAAAGCAAGCACAGCAGUGUUCAGUACAGCAGAAGAAAUUCCCCAAACCUGCACAAUGCUUAAUACUAGAUUUUGGUACGAUGCUAAAACAUGGUCAUAUGAUGUUGGGUGGAUAAUUUUUGAAAAUUCCUACAGCAGAAAAGAUGUAUUGGUGUAGCCAAGUGGGUGCUUGUUCUGUGCUGCUGCUCUGUUUAUGCAAGAGGGUAUUUUCUUUAACUGGUGCAUGGAAGUCAGCAGCUUCUUUUGACCCUUUUCUUUCAGAUUUCUGUAUUAUGCUAUAAUAUUUUGGUAAAAGCUGAGUUUCAGUUAAGCAUCACUGUCUGCACCAAAGUCCUGUUCAGAACUGUGUCCAUAUUGUUCAGCCUCGUUCCCUGUCUGCUGCUGCAGAUCCAUGCAUGAUCCCUGUUCUGCACCAUCCAUGUGGUUCUGGUACAAGAAAUGACUGGGCUCAACCAGAGAUGCCCACUGGUCUUGACAGGGUGAAAAUGUCACUGGGAAUAAACAGAUGUACUACAGCAUUUGGGGGAAUGAGGUGCACAUCUUGUCAAGACUUACCUCUUGUGAAAACUAAACUUUCUCUAAAAUUUAGGCUUAGGGUGUGGCUUUAUGAAGCCAAAUCUCCUUCUAAGUGCAGGUAGCUCACAGAAAAAAAAAAAAUGGUAGUUUUGUUCUCCCCCGAUCCAAAGCAUUUGGUCUAGCAAUUCUGGGACCAAAUUCCAGCUGUUCCUUGAAAGCUAGCACACCUUUCAUCAUAUUGGAGAGCUAGGGUCAAGAAAACAGGUCUGAUUUACAUUCUAACUGUGCCUGAAGCAACGAACAACACAUUUAAAUAUUAGAUUGCACUGAGUCUACAUUUAAAUCCUAGGAGAGUUUUGAAUAUGGAACUAAUUCACCUUUAAUUGGAAUGUAUUUAGUGUUCCUGGAAAGACUGGGCAAAACGGUUAACAUGGUGAAAAAGUGUCAGUGCGUCACAAGAAUAUUUUACAGCUCCAAGGACUGAUGUUUAUAACCAUUUUGGGGAUGGUAUUGCAAAAGCUUUAAGUUAUUAUAAUGAUAUCAGGCUAUCAAAAUGUACCUUAAUGACCAAAACUAGGGGGAGAAGGACUACGAUACUAAAUUCAACAGUUUUGCCUAGAGACUGUACAGGCAAGGCUGCUAUGCACUUCAUAUUGCUUUUUCAGGUAUUGUGGCAAUAAGGCACAGGCCCCUCCUCAAGUAAAGGGAAGUAAACUAAAUAUUCUUUCUACAUUGUGUUCCCCUUUUCUGUAGCUUGGUCCAAAACACAGACUGAUUCCUUAAAUUUUGAAACUGAAUCAUCAUGCAUUAUAUUACUAUUGGAAUCUUUAUACUGACUUGUAUUUUUAAUGAGAAUUCAUAAAACUUGUAUCAUUGGCAUUGAUCUAAGAUUUGUAGAAUAAACCCUACUGAAUUCUGAAGUGAAA